rnacentral:rRNA from 1 species
UAGGGAAUUUUCCACAAUGGACGAAAGCCUGACACAGCAACGCCGCGUGAAGGAUGAAGUCCCUCGGGAUGUAAACUUCGUAAGAAUAGGAAGAAUAAAUGACGGUACUAUUUGUAAGGUCCGGCUAACUACGUGCCAGCAGCCGCGGUAAUACGUAGGGACCAAGCGUUGUUCGGAUUUACUGGGCGUAAAGGGCGCGUAGGCGGUGUGUCAAGUCAGUUGUGAAAUCUCCGAGCUUAACUCGGAACGGUCAACUGAUACUGUCACACUAGAGUACAGAAGGGGCAAUCGGAAUUCUUGGUGUAGCGGUGAAAUGCGUAGAUAUCAAGAGGAACACCUGAGGCGAAGGCGGGUUGCUGGGCUGAUACUGACGCUGAGGCGCGAAAGCUAGGGUAGCAAACGGGAUUAGAUACCCUCGUAGUCCCUGAGCGGGCUGGCAAGGCGCAU